GAUAACCACAUUCUCUUCCCCUUUGUCCACACAUUUUUCCCCUGCUAAGAGGUCAAGCCUUGCAGAAGAAAAAUUGGCACAUGAAGCAUCCCAUUGACCUUUCCACCAAACAAAACUCCCUCGUACACUUAAUCUGUUAUAUUGAUGGGCAGUCAUGGUUGCAAGUAGAACAUGCCCAUCAUUUCUUCUUUCUUCCUGGCAGACAGAAUGAAUCAUAUUGCUGGGAUAAUGAACCACUUAAUGACUUGUGUGUUGAUUUAUCAGAUGGUGCUGGAGAGGCCAGUUUAAGAGUGUAAAGCCAUAAGUCACAGUGUUGCUGCACAUGGCCCAUGAGGCUGCUUGGCUCCCUUCUGUGAAUUGCUGGGUUAAUCAAGUCAUCAUUAGGGUGUGAAAGCAGUGAAGUGCCCCCUUUUCAUUCUGGUUGGCAUUUCUUCAAAAUAAGAAUCUAUUUUUCUUUCAGGUUUCGAAACAGUUCAACGUGAUAAAAUUGGCACUUUUGACUUUCAUAGUGAGGAAGUUUCAUCCUGGGCUAAAGAAAUACAUUAGUAGUGAGCACAGGGAAACCUUCCUGGUGUGUUCUGGACAGUGUUCUGGCACUACCUUUGUCUUCCUUGGAUUCUCAGAGCUCUUAGAUUUCCUGGCAAAUGAAAUAUUUUAGCCUAACAAAUUUAAAAACAUGAAACUAGUCCAUGUGUUGUA